AACAGCUGCGGUAUUAUAACUGUACUAAGGUAGCAUAAUAAUUUGCCUUAUAAAUUAGGGCUAGAAUGAAUGGUUUGACGAAAAUUAAGCUGUCUCUGUUUUAUUUGUUAGAAAUUAAUUUUUAUAGUGAAAAAGCUUUAAUUAUUUAAAGGGACGAGAAGACCCUAUUGAGCUUAAUAUUAAUAUUUAAAUAUAGAACAAGUUUUAAAAUUAAAUUAUUUGUUUAUUGUAUAAAUGUUUAUUUUUAUUUAAUUUUGGUUGGGGUGAUCAAGGAAUAAGAUAGAUAUAAUAACUUCCUUAAGUAUAUUUAAUUUUUAUUGAGUAAUAAACCAAAUUUUUUGCUUAUAAGAUAAGUUACCAUAGGGGUAACAGCGUAAUUUUUUUUGAGAGUUCAUAUUAAAAGAAGAGAUUGCGACCUCGAUGUUGGAUUAAAAAUAACCUUAAGGUGUAGAGG
rnacentral:rRNA from 1 species